AUACACACAAGCUAACACCUAACGCUCGGGGGGCCUAAGGAAAAAAGAUCUGAAAGAUAUCCUAAAGCCAGAGCGCCGCUUUCAGAGAACCCCACCCCCUCGAUCGAGUAUCUUCUUCUUCUUCUUAUGCCAUUUUCAAUGGUUUCGUCUGAAGCAAAAAGCAACAACUCCAUGAGCUACUGUUCUUGAACAAAAUUGAGACCUUAAGCAUCAGCUUCCUCUUAUCCAAAAAGAAAAAAUAAAAGACAUGAGCAUCUAGAAAUGGGAGGGAUCGAAAAUUUCCAGCAGUUUCUUCAUCUCGUAACUCCGACAACCCUCCAUUGAGUCCGGCGAAAGCCGAGUUCGAACCCAGUCAUAAACUCAGCUACAAAACCAUCUGAAAUAACAUCUCAAAGCAGCACGAAACACACACAAAAUUAGCCAAGGUUUUGAGUCGAGCCCGUCGAGUUCGCCCAUUUGGUGUUCUAGUCGAAGGUUUCGUUUUCAAUUUCCAGUAACCUGUAUUGCCGAGGUAUGUACCUUGAGUUUCUUUUCCGUUUGUUCAAUCAAGUACUGAAGAAAAUUAUUGCUUAUUGAGGUGCACUUUUAUUUGAUAUUGUUUCUUAGCAUGCUUUGCUUGUAUGUAUGAGUGUGUUCAUGUCAUGAUUUAUUCAUUGUGUUUAUAUGUUGGGUCAUAUUGAUUUACUGCCUUCCUAGUGGUGUAUUAAAAUUUAGAAUUUUAUUUUGUUUGCUUGUUUCUUUUGGUUUGAUGAAGUAGUUUGUAACACACUUGUCGAAUUUUUAUGAUUAAUUUGGAAGAUGAAAGAUCUGUUCAGACGAAUUCUAAUAUCGUCCGUACGAAUUGCAUGAUUUUGUUAGCUUUAAGGGGCUGUAGGCUUGGUUUGGAUCCUUAGAAGAAUUGAUGUUCAAGUUUAAGUAAAAGGGUUGCAUAAUAAUCCCACAGUUUAGUUCAGCUCUAGUUGCUUUAGGCAUGUUACAAUAAAAUUAUCAUAGCUAUGGGUACGGUUCCCGUGACGUAGUUGUGAUACAUAAUCACAAAUUCGGGGGUGCAUUUCAUGUAACCCGAUUAUAACAACUUCGAAUAAUGAGACUUUGUGAAAAAAUUUGAGGCAUGUCGUGCCAAAUUAAAUCUUAAAAUACAUGGCCCUCACUUAAUUAGUAUUUUAAAGUCCUUAGAAUUCGAGGCGUGCCAUUUAGCUAAUUUUUAUGGCCCCCGCAAAGUUUCUAAAGCGUAGUUGCUCUAGGCACGUCAUUUAAAUAAAACUACCUUCCUAAAUUCAGGUGCGCAUUUAUGCAACCCAAAUCCAAAUCUCAACAAUAUUAAAAUAUGUCAAAGACCACGGGUGCAUUUAUGUGACGUGGUUCAAGACGUGUUUUAAUAACGCUGCAAUCUUCCUAAAAAUGAAUAAAAGCGGUUAAAAACUAAAAUUUACACAUAGGUUCAUAGUUGUUUAAAAUCAGACAAUUAAGCCGAAUAUAAUAGUUGAGCGACCGUGCUAGAACCACGGAACUCGGGAAUGCCUAACACCUUCUCCCGGGUUAACAGAAUUCCUUACUCGGAUUUCUAGCUCGCGGAUCGUUAAACAGAGUCAAUCUUUUCCUCGAUUCGGGAUUUUAACCGGUGACUUGGGACACCAUAAAUUAUCCCAAGUGGCGAAUUUGUAACUUUUAACAAUAAAUCCCGUUUCGAUUGUCCUUUAAUUGGAAAAAAACUCCUUUAUACAUCACCUUCCGGGGGUAUAGUGAAAAAGGAGGUGUGACACCAUCUCGUAGUCCAACUCAUAAUGCGAGGGGAUCUCCUGGAAUACUGAUACGUAGUCCCAAAUGUAAAUACUCAGUACAGGGGGAAUCUACAGGGUGCAGUCCUGUAGUUCCAAAGUAAAUGUGUAGGGGGAUCUCCUGGAAUACCGUUUCAUAGUCUCAAAUGUAAACACUCAGUACAGGGGGAAUCUACUGAGUGCUGUCCCGUAGUUCUAAUGUAAAUGUGCAGGGGGAUCUCCCGAAAUACUGUUCUGUAGUCCCAAAGUAAACAUACAGGGGGAUUUUUCGGGAUACCGUCCUGUAGUCCAAAAGCAAGCACACAACAACAAUAAGAAGAGUACACAGUUCAAUUCAAGUUCCAUACUAAGGUAAAAUAGGUAUUUCUAACCUAGCAUGCUGCACGUAUUCCAAAUAAGGCAGUUUGAACACUUAAGGCAAUUAAGUCACUUAGACAUGCUUUUCCUAAGCUAACAACAGGCUUAAAUUACAUGUAAUAUAAAUAGGAAAGGAAACAUACUAGUAAUUACUUAAUGAAAACCGGCUAUUCAACAAUUAGCACAAGUACGCACUCGUCACCUCUCGUACACGGCAUUUCAAUUAUCAAUAAUACCAAAUCCUAAGGGGAAGGUCCCCCACACAAGGUUACACAAGCCAGUUACCUCGAACCGUCUCAAAGUCAACACAAAACCGCGUUCUUGCAACGAGUACUUGACUCCAAAUGGCCCAAAUCCCAAUGAUUUUCUCUAAAAAUCUCCCUUGAAAAAGCUCCCCAAAGCUUCUUCCCGUUCGAAAAGAGGUGAAAAUAACUCAAAUUCACGAAGCCAACUAUUUAUAUGUUCUGCCUAGCUUAUCCGCUUCUACAGUCAUGGGACCGCAACUGCAGUCCUGCUUUUGCGGAACAAAGGUCGCAUCUGCGACAAAUCACUAAACUCAGUUUUCCGUACCUGCGACUCCCCAUACGCAGAUGCAGUACCACUUCUGCGGUAAAGCUCCCGCUUCUGCGGCUCCUGCUGUUACUCCCCUUUUUCGCUUCCGCGAUGAUGUUGCCGCUUCUCUAGCUAUGCACCUGUGGGACCCAACCACAGGUGCAGUUAUGACAAAAGAUCAGCAUCUGAAGCUGCUCAAACAACACCCAAUUCUUCCGACAACCUUCUGAAACCAUCCCGAGGCCCUCGGGACCUCAACCAAAAACACAAAUAAGUCUAGUAAAACUAUCCAAACUUAUACCAAUCCUUAAAACACGUAAAACAACAUCGAAACCACGAAUCAACCCCGAAUUCAAGCCUAAGAACUCCCAAACCCUAAAUUUAUGCUUUCGAUCAAAAGGUCUAUCAAACCUCGUCCGAAUGACCUAAAAUUUUGCUCACACGUCACAUUCAACACUAUGGAGCUACUCAAACUUUUGGAAUUCCAUUCCGAGCCUCGGAUCAAGUUCUCACUAUCGAACCGGAGACUUCAAAAUUCAACUUUCGGCAUUUCAAGCCAAAAUUAGCUAUGGACCUCCAAAACACAAUCCAAACACGCCCCUAAGCCCGAUAUCACCCAACGGAGCUAACAGAACUAUCAGAAUUCCAUUCCAAGGCUAUCUUCACACAGUUCCUAUUACGAUCAAAUUUCCAAAACUUAAGCUCUCAUUUAGGGACUAAGUAUCCUAAAACUCUCCGAAACUCAAAAUCGAACAUCCCGACACAUCAAAAUAGCAGAAAUAAACAUGGAGAAAGCAGUUAAUAGGGGAUCGGGGCGUUAAUUCUUAAAAUGACCGGUCGGGUCGUUACAUCCUCCCACACUUAAACAUUCGUUCAUCCUCGAACGAGCAUAGAGACAUACCCGAAAUAGUGAAAAGAUGAGGGUAACGGUUGCGCAUAGCCUGCUCGGUCUCCCAGGUCGCCUCCUCGACCAGAUGACCCCACCACUGAACCUUCACUGAUGCAAUGUUCUUUGAUCUCAGCUUUCGGACCUGCCUAUCCAAUAUUGCCACUAGUUCCUCAAUAUAAGAUAGAUCUUUGUCCAGCUGAACUGAACUAAAAUCCAACACGUGCGACGGAUCACUAUGAUACCUCUAGAGCAUCGAAACAUGAAAAACCGAAUGAACCCUUGCCAAGCUUGGAGGUAAGGCAAGCUCAUAAGCAACCUCCCCAACACGCCUCAAUAUCUCAAAAGGGCCAAUAAACCUCGGACUCAACUUCCCCUUCUUCCCAAAUCUCAUAACGCCCUUCAUAUACGAAACCCGAAGUAGAACCCGCUCUCCAACCAUAUAGGAAACAUCACGAACCUUCCGGUCCGCGUAACUCUUCUGUCUGGACUGGGCUGUAUGGAGUCUAUCCUGAAUCACCUUAACCUUCUCCAAAGAAUCCUGAACCAAGUUUGUGCCCAAUAAUCUAGCCUCACCCGGCUCAAACCAACCCACCGUGGAUCUACACCGCCUACCAUAUAAAGUGGUGCCAUCUGAAUGUUGGAUUGAUAGUUGUUGUUGUAGGCAAACUCUGCCAAUGGCAAGAACUGAUCCCAAAACCCUCCAAACUCAAUCACACACGCACGGAGCAUAUCCUCAAGAAUAUAAAUAGUGCGCUCGGACUAUCCGUUCGUCUGAGGGUGAAAUCUUGUACUCAACUCCACUCGAGUACCCAACUUAUGCUGAAUAGCCCUCAAGAAUCAUGAAGUGAACUGAUUACCUCUAUCUGAAAUGAUGGAAACUUGAAUACAAUGCAUAUGAACAAUCUCCCAAAUAUAAAUCUCUGCUAACCGCUCCGAAGAAUAAGUAGUACACACAGGAAUGAAGUGGGCGAACUUGGUCAGCCGAUCCACAAUUACUCAAAUAACAUCGAGCUUUCUCAAAGUCUGUGGGAGCCCAACUACAAAGUCCAUGGUGAUCCGCUCCCACUUCCACUCCGAAAUCUCUAUCUGCUAAAGCAACCCACCCGGUCUCUGCCUCUCAUACUUCACCUGCUGAUAGUUGAGACACCGAGCUACAAACCCAACUAUAUCUUUCUUCAUCCACCUCCACCAAUAGUGCUGUCUCAAAUCCUAAUACAUAUUCGCGGCACUCGGACGAAUGGAAUACUGCGAACUAUAGGCCUCCUCUAGAAUCAACUUCCGAAGCCCAUCAACAUCGGGUACACAAAUCUGACCCUGCAUCUUCAAUACCCCGUCAUCACCAAUAGUCACAUCUCCAGCAUCCCCAUGUUGAACCUUGUCCUUGAGGACAAACAAAAGAGGGUCCUCAUACUGACGCUCCCUGAUACGGUCAAAUAAGGAAGACCAAGAAACCACGCAAGUUAGGACCCGACUAGGCUCCGAAAGAUCCAAUCUCACAAGGAACACCGUACAAAUAAUGGCUCCAAAUCUUCAGGGCGUGAAUAAUGGAAGCUAACUCGAGAUCAUGGAUAGGGUAAUUUUUCUCAUGUACCUUCAACUGUCUAGACGCGUAGGCAAUCACCAUACCACCCUACAUCAACACCGCUCCAAGUCCAAUCCUCGAGGCAUCACAAUAGACCGUAUAUGACCCCGAACCUGUAGGCAAUAUCAAAACUGGGGCUGUAGUCAAAGCCGUCUUGAGCUUCUGAAAGUUUGCCUCACAAUCUUCCAUCCACUAGAACGGAGUACCCUUCUGGGUUAGCCUGGUCAUAGAGGUUGUGAUCGAUGAAAACCCCUCCACAAAACGACGAAAGUAACCCACCAAGCCAAGAAAACUGCAGAUCUCUGUAGCUGUGGAUGGUUCGGGCCAACUAUGCACUGCCUCUACUUUCUUCGGAUUCACCUGAACACCCUCACUCAAUACUACUUGGCCUAAGAAUACAACAGAAUCCAACCAAACUCACAUUUUGAGAACAUAGCAUAUAACUUCUUUUCCCUCAAAGUCUGGAGCACUGUCCUCAGGUACUGCUCAUGAUCUUCCCGACUCCGGGAAUAUACCAGAAUAUCAUCAAUAAAGACAAUGAUGAACGAGUCAAGAUACAGCCGGAACACACUAUGCAUCAAAUGCAUAAAAGCUUCUGGGCCAUUGGUCAGCCCAAAUGACAUAACAAAGAACUCGUAAUGACCAUACCGAGUCCUGAAAGCAGUCUUUGGGAUAUCUGGCUCCCAAAUCUUCAACUGAUGGUAACCUGAGCGCAAGUCAAUCUUAGAAAACACCCGUACGCCCUGGAGCUGGUCAAACAGAUCAUCAAUAAGAGGCAAAGGAUAAUGGUUCUUCAUUGUGACUUUGUUUAACUGGCGAUAAUCAAUACACAUAAACAUAGAACCAUCCAUUUUCUUCACAAUCAAAAAGAGCACCCCAAGGUGAUACACUUGGCCGAAUAAAACCCUUAUCAAGCAAUUCCUGUAACUGAUCCUUCAAUUCCUUCAACUCAGGGGGGAGCCAUACAAUAUGGAGGAAUAGAAAUGGGCUGAGUUCCUGGCAAAAGAUCAAUGCCAAAAUCAAUAUCUCUAUCAGGCGGCAUGCCCGAAAGAUCAGCUAGAAACACAUUAGGAAAAUCACGUACUACUAGGACUGAAUCAACUGAAGGGGUAUCAACUGAUAUCUCUCACAUAAGCUAGAUACGCGUCACGCCCCUUCUCAACCAUACAAUGAGCCUUAAGGAAAGAAAUAACUCUACUGGGGUGUGAUCUAAAGCACCCUUCCACUCAACACGCGGAAUACCUAGCAUAGCUAGUGUCACAGUUUUGGCGUGACAAUCAAGAAUAGCAUAAUGGAGCGACAACCAGUCCAUGCCCAAGGUAAUAUCAAAAUCUACCAUGUUGAGUAACAAUAAAUUGGAUCUGGUCUCAAAACUACUAGGAGUAACCAAACACGAUCGAUAAAUGCGGUCCACAACAAGAGAAUCUCACACAGGAGUAGAAACAUAAAUGGGGGAACUCAAAGAAUCCCGAGGUACACCCAUGUGCGGAGCAAAAUAAGAAGACACAUAAGAGUAAGUGGAGCCUUGAUCAAAUAGAACGGAUGCAUCUCUGUGACAAACCAGUAUAAUACCUGUGAUGAUAGAAUCGGAGGCAACAGCCUCGGUAUGGGCAGGAAGGGCAUAGUAUCUGGCCUGGCCUCCCCCUCUAGAGAGACCUCUACCUCCCCGACCUCCACCUCUAUCUGGAUGAGCAGGUGGGGUAGCAACUGGAGCUAUACCCAUAGCCUGAGAACUCUACAAGGCACGCUGUGGCUGGGAAAUCUGUGAAGGUACACCCCUCCUAAGUCUGGGGAAAUCCCUUAACAUAUGGAAUGUAUCACCACACUCAAAAUAAGCUCUAGAAGGACGUGGAGGUUGUUACUGGCUGUGGCUAGGCCUGCUGGACUGACAACUAAAAUCACCCCGCGCAGGAGGCACACUAGAUACUAGAGGCGCAUAAUAAGGCUCCUGGGGCCUAGGAGGAGUUGGAACACCACUGGCUACUGGAAGAGCUGAAUGAACGAAGCGACUCAUAUUACCCCUAGCAUGAUGACCUGCUGCUGGGGCACGGGCACCAGAAUAAUGGCCCGACUCUUGAAACCUCUUGGCCUCCCUCUCCUCUCUCUCCCUAGAAUGAAUACCCUCAAUCCUCCUAGCAAUGCUCACCAUCUGCUGAUAAGAAAUAUCAAUCUCCAACUCACGUGCCAUGUUAAACCUGAUUCUAGGAAUAAUCCCCUGAAUAAACUGGCGAACUCUCUCGUGAACAGUAAAAAUCAAGGCUGUGGCAUGUCUAGCCAAGCUAGUGUAACGGAUAGCAUACUCCAAGACACUCAUAGCACCCUAGCACAAAUGCUGAAACUCUAUGCGUCAUGCAUCCCUGAGGCUCUGAGGAACAAACUCUCUCAGGAACAUAUCUAAAAACUGAGCCCAAGUCACUGAAGCUGCCUCAUACAGACUGUCUAACUCAUAGGUGCGCCACCACUCAUAAGCGGCUUCUCGAAGCUAGAAGGCAAUAAAAGAAACCCCACUCAAUCCUGAUAUACCCAUAGUACGGAAGAUAUGGUGACACUUCUCUAGAAAUCCCAAGGUAUCAUCGAAGGCUAACCCACUGAAUACGGGAGUAUCAUACUUAUUGAACCUCUCAAGUCUCCGCUGCUCAUCCUCUGAAGCUGCUGCCCUCUCCUCGGGCUGACCUGGGGCUACAGGUUGUACAAGAAUAUAUCUCUGGGACAUGAUCAACAUGCACUCGCUGCUCAGGAGUGCGGGGGGCGGGAGUCUGUGCUCCUCCCCCGGCCUGAGAUGUGGCUGCAGCAAGGGGGAACUACCCUGCCUGAGCCAAAGUGGUGUACAUGCUCAUGAACUACGCAAGAGUCUCCUGGAGAGCUGGAGUAGUAGUAGCAGCAGGCGUAUCAGGUGCCUGAACUCCGGCUGGAACUGCUGGUGGUGCCUCGACGGCAGCUCGCGUGGGUGCUCUGGCUGCACCAUAUGUGCGGGUGCCUGAUCAUCUCGGGUAGCGCGUGUCCUCACCAUCUAUGAGAGAAUAGAAGACAGAAGUUUAGAAUUGUGAUGUCAAAAUCUCGCACGACAAGGAAAUCAAUUGAGGCGGAAUUUUCUUAACAAUUACAUAGCCUCUCGUAGAUAAGUACAGACGUCUCCGUAACGAUCAGCGAGACUCUAAUAAACCGGCUUGUGAUUCAUAACUCCUAUAAACCUAGAGCUCUGAUACCAACUUUUCACAACCCCGGUUCACCCUCCAUGAAUUAUCCUGACGGCACCUAGUCUCUAUGACUAGGUAAGCCUAACAAUGCGGAAAAUAAACCAAUUUGCGGAAGUAAAACAAUUAAAAACCGAAAUAGUGAAAUAAAAUAGCGUUUAAAAGUGCUGCUCGGCAUACACAAUAUUGACUCUCAAAAACAAAUACAUUUCCCAAAACCCGAAAUCUCAUGAUCACAAGCCUUUGAAUGUCUACAAACAUCUAACUCCAAAAUAUCUAAUAAGUAAAUGAAAGUACAGAAGGGAUAAUACAAAAAGGGAGAGUAGAAAGUGACUCUUUGGUCUGCGGACGCGGCAGAUAUAUCUCAGAGUCUCUACAAGCAUCUCGUCUCAAGCGUGAUAAGUAUGAGUAGAAGUACCUAGAUCUGUAUAUGAAAAACAUGCGCAGAAAGGUCAUGAGUACACCACAACGGUACUUAGUAAGUGCCAAACCUAACUCGGUCGGGUAGUGACAAGGAAGGUCAGGGCCCUACUAAGGUUAAAUAAAAUAUAAGGUUCAAUAGUGUAGAAUAAAACAGUAUAAAUAAGUACAACAGUAAAAGUAACACGGGAUAUAAAGGACAGCAACAACUACUAUAGAGGCAGAGUAAACACAGAAAGAAAUACAGCUCAACGCAAAGAUAACAACCGGGGAUCUCCUAGGAUACUGUCCUGUAGUCCCAAAUGUAAAUAUCCAGUGGAUCUCCGGGGAUACCGUCCCGUAGUCCAACUCAUAAUGCGAAGGGAUCUCCCAGAAUAGCGAUCCGUAGUCCCAAAUAUAAAUACUCAGUACAUGGGGAAUCUACCGGGUGCAAUCCCGUAGUUCCAAUGUAAAUGUUCUUUGGGAUCUCCUAGAACACCGUUCCAUAGUCCCAAAUGUAAAUACUCAGUACAUAGGGAAUCUACCUGGUGCAGUCCCAUAGUUCCAAUGUAAAUGUGCAGGGGGAUAUCCCAGAAUACCGUUCCGUAGUCCCAAAGUAAACAUACAGAGGGAUCUCCCGGGAAUCCUGUAGUCCCAAAGUAAACACACAACAACAACAACAAGAGUACACAGUUCAAUUCAAGUUACAUACCAAGGUAAAACAGGUAUUUCUAACCUAGUAUGAUGCACGUAAUCCAAAUAAUUAGUUUGAAUAUGUAAGACAAUUAAGUCAAUUAGACAUGCUUUUCCUAAGCUAACAACAUGCUUUAAUGGAAAUUAAUAUAAAUAGGAAAUGAAACAAACUAGUAAUUACUUAAUGAAAAUCGGAUUUUCAACAAUUAGCACAAGUACACACUCGUCACCUCACGUACAAGGCAUUUUAAUUAUCAAUAAUACCAAAUCCUAAGGGGAAGGCCCCCCACACAAGGUUAGGCAAGCGGCUCAAAUUCAACCCGAAACCAUGUUCUUGCCACGAGUACUGGACUUGAAAUGGCCCAAAUCCCAAUGAAUUCCUCUGAAAACCUCCCUUGAAAUGCUCCCCAAGGCUUCUUCAUGUUUGAAAAGAGUUGAAAAUAACUCAAAUUCAAGAAAGCAACUAUUUAUAUGUUCUGCCUAUCUAAUCUGCUUCUGCGGUCAUGGGACCGCACCUACGGUCCCGCUUUUGCGGAACAAAAGUCACAAUUGCGACAAAUCACUAAACUCACUUUUCCACACCUGCGACUCCCCAUACGCAGAUGCGGUACUGCUUCUACGGUAAAGCUCCAAUUCUACGGCUCCCGCUAUUACUCCCCUUUUCUGCUUCUGCGAUGAUGUUGUCGCUUCUGCGGCUAUGCACCUACGGGACCCAACCGCAGGUGCAGUUAUGACAAAAGAUCAGCAGCUGAAGCUGCUCAAACAACCCCCAAUUCUUCCGACAACCUUCUGAAACCAUCCUAAGGCCCCCAGGAGCUCAACCAAAAACACAAACAAGUCUAAUACCACUGUCCAAACUCAUACUAAUCCUUAAAACACCUAAAACAACAUUGAAAUGACGAAUCAACCCUGGAUUCAAGCCUAACAACUUCCAAACUCUAAAUUUACACUUUCGAUCAAAAAGUCUAUCAAACCUCGUCCGAAUGACUUGAAAUUUUUCACACGCAUCACAUUCAACACUACGGAGCUACUCCAACUUUUUGAAUUCCAUUCCGACCCUCGGAUCAAAAUUUCACUAUCAAAUCAGAGACUUUAAAAUUCGACUUUCGGCAUUUCAAGCCUAAAUUAGCUACAGACCUCGAAAACACAAUCUGAACACGCCCUAAGCCCGAAAUCACCCGACGGAGCUAACGGACCCAUCAAAAUUCUAUUCCGUGGUCAUCUUCAUAUUGUUCUAACUACGGUCAAAUUUCCAAAACAUAAGCUCUCAUUUAGGGACUAAGUGUCCCAAAACUCUCUGAAACUCAAAAUCGAACAUCCUGACAAAUCAAAAUAGCACAAAUAAACACGGGGAAAGUAGCUAAUAGGGGAUCGGGUGUUAAUUCUUAAAACAACCGGCCAAGUCGUUACAAGUUGAUGGGAAGCUAAAAACCAUGGUGAGUUCUCUUGUUCACAUAUUGAUGUUUCAUAGUGAAAUAAUCAUUUUAUUAUUAUGUAGGCCUCGGAGAUGCCAUUGCUAUAUAGUCGCCCCGCCCUGUGAAGAAGAAAUCCUAAAGCCAACCAAGGAAAAUAAAAGAAAAGUAAAGCUUAAAAGCCUAGAGCCGAUCCCGCAGCCCUAUUUGUAGAAGUGGCCAAACACCUUCAGGAUGAUGAGGAGGAGGGAGAAGAUGAUGACUUCCUAUUGGUAGCUCGGAAAAAAGGAAGCACUACGGAUUCCAAGUCCGCCGAAUCGGUGAUGGCUGAUACGGUUCAUUCUUGAAAUGAAGAAAUUUCGGAGGGGAGCUCGAGUAGAGUCCCCGAGCCAUCGGUGGUAAAAAUGCAUCUCAUCCCAGGGGACAUUUGGUGGGAGAGCCCGAGGAGCCUAGUUCCGAGGCCCUCCAAAGAGAGGAUAAUAUCCGAAGUGAAUCACUUGGGAUAAUUAACGUAGAUGACUCGCCGACGGGCCAUGUGUUCUCCGAAGGGCAAUUCCGAGAUGCCUAGGCCAUGAGGACUCCUGAUAUAGAAACAACUCAUGAAGGGAGUGAUUUUUUUGAGAGUGUCUUGCAGGGGUCAAAGAUGGUUUGGAUCUUGAUGCCUCAUUUAUCUUUAAUGAGGCCUAGAGUCUUCUCAAACAAGUAAGUUUUUGUCUUCGUAGUUACGCUCGAGUUUUAUUGUCAUUUUUCUAAGUUUGACUCCUUUUCUUUGUGUGAAGGCUGUGGCACUUCAUCGACAAGCAUUUUCCAAAUAUCGAGUUGAGCUUGACCGAUCUGAAGCCGAACUAAAGAAGUUGGUGGAAGAGAGGGAUGGCCUUAAGCUCCUCUACGUAGAGAAAGAGGAAGAGGUUAGGGAUAUCUGAGUUGAAUUGGCAAGGGCUCAUCAAGAAUAGACUGAGCUCAUUGAAAAGGUAAUAAAUCCUUUGAGGGUCUGUUAUGCAUUCAUUUGAUUUAGGGAUUAACGCUUCAACUUUGCAGGCCCAGCAGAAGGGCGAGCUGGUGGAGCAGCUUCGAGAACAGCUCAAGGUGAAAAAGGUCAAGACCCUGUGUGGAAGCAACACAUGGAUCAUGUCGCCUCAGAGAAAGAUACACUUUAGGACCAGCUAACUUCAAUCAAAUGCUAGCUUCAAAAUGCAAAGGAGGAAAGCUUGGCCCAGAGCCGAAAAAUCGAGGAGCUCGAAGCUAAAUCAGUCGAUGAGCUUGUGAAGGCCAAAUCUGAGGCAGAGGCAUUUGUGUCCUCGUACCGAGAUAAUGCCGAAGCUUCUAACAUUCGGGCACAAGAGAUCUCCAUUGCGGUUGAAGUUAAAUUAUCAUGUGCUCUCAACUACGCCAGGUGACAAUCCCGAAGAGAAACACUCGAGGAGGUGCACGCUUGUGGCUUUAACCUCUCUGCUGAUAUUGAAAAAGCAAAAACAUUGGAGGAAAAGGUUGCCGCUUUACUCUUUGAUGAAGAGGAUUUUGCUAGUGGAUCCGAGAGUGGAGGAGAUGAGGAUGAAGUCCCUAAAGAGGAGGUUCCCGAAGACGCGGCUCUCGAGGAUGCGGCUCUCGAAGAUGUAGCUUCCAAAGAUGUGGUUAUCGAGGAUGUCGCCCCCAAAGUAGAUUAGGUUCUUUUGUUUUUAUGUUUGUGUAAGGCCCUUUGUGGGAAUUGUAAAUACUCUUUAUUAAUAUAAGGAGUUCCCUUUCUUUUCGCUUUAUCUCCGAUUUGUAUUGAAUUCUGCUUCGUCUUCAUUUGUGAAAAACUUUGAUGUUAUAACUCUAAUGAUCAAGUGAGCACUAGCUUGGACUCGGAAUAUAACAAACCCUUAGGUUUUUACUGAUCAAUGGGAGAUCUUUGAAUUUAUAAUAGAUUAUCUCUUAAGGUUUUUGUUAAUCCUCGAGCUAUGCUUAAGUCGAUUUGGGACUUAGAUACUGUUGAAUUCUCCUUAGGUAGCACAUAGUUGUUACCUCAAUAAAACCUCGCCGGGAAAACCCAUUUGGGACAAAAUUUGAUAUGAGGAAAAAAGAGUGCAACGUGUGCUUUAAAACCUAAGGUCUUUGUGUAUAAAGGUGCCCUCAGCGUCUUCGAUCGAACACCUGCAAUGAGUUAGUCUUAAAUUCAAAUGGAAAAAAGAGAAGGUCAUACCUUAGCAGUAAUAUCGUUUGAGUAGUGAUACAUUCUAAGUGUUUGACAAUCGUUCGCCUUCCAUCGUGCCAAGUUUGUAAGAUCCAUUGCUGACUACUCUGAUGACUCGGUACGGUCCUUCCCAAAUCGGGCCUAGUUUCCCUUUAUUCAGGUCUCGAGUAUUGAUAGUGACUUUCCAUAGAACUAAGUCCCCAAUCCCGAAGUGUCAAAGGUUUGUCCUUCUAUUAUAAUAUCUCUCGAAUCUUUGUUUCUGCGCCGCCAUCCGAACAAGUGCAACUUUUCAUUUUUUAUCAAGUAGUUCGAGGCUGGUAUUCAUAGCCUCGUGAUUUGACUCCUCCGGUGUAUGUCAAAAUCUUUUGUUGGGUUCCCCGACCUUGACCGAAAUCAAGGCCUCAGAGCCGUAUACUAACGAGAUCGGGGUCGCCCCCGUGUUGGCCUUUGAUGUUGUUUGAUACGCCCAAAGAACCUCGAGUAGAACUUCUCUCCAUUUUCCUUUUGCAUCAUCCAACCUCUUCUUUAAGUUUUGAAUGAUAGUUUUAUUUGUUGACUCGGCCUGUCAAACAGACAUUUAGAAACUGAAUUUCCAUUCAUUUUGGUAGAUAUCCUGAAUCGACACACAAUGUGAUCCCAGAUAAAGUCAAUAACUUCCUUUUCUCUGACCUUCUUGAAGGCCUGGGCUUCCACCCAUUUAGAAAAGUAAUCAGUCGUAAACAAAAUGAAUUUAGCUUUACUGGGGUCGUUGGUAGGGGGCCAACGAUUUCCAUUCCCUGUUUCAUGAAAGGCCACGGGGACAGGACUGAGUGAAGUUGCUCUCCCGGAUGGUGAAUCAUCGGCACAAACCAUUGGAACUUAUCACACUCUUUAACAAACUCCUUAGUGUCUUUUUCCAUGUUAUCCAAGUAAUACCCUUCUCUAAUAAUUUUGCGAAUCAAAGACUCGACGCCAGAGUGAUUCCCACAAGUACCUUCGUGGAUUUCUCAUAUAACAUAAUCGGUGUCCCCCGGCCCCAAACAUACCGCCAAUGGUCCAUCGAAUGUCCUAUUAUACAAUGUUCCAUCUUCAUCCAACGUGAACCUAGCAGCCUUGGUUCAUAGAGCCUUUGACUCUUUAUGAUCCCAUGGGAGCUUAUUAUUUUUCAAAUAUUUGAUAUACUUAUUCCUCCAAUCCCAAGUCAAAAUAGUGGAAUUUAUCUCGGCAUGACCCUCUUCGACCACAGUUCUUGAUAAUUGGACGAUAGUCCCCGGGACAAUAUCAUCUUCUUCUACUGAUGAACCCAAAUUAGCAAGUGCAUCGGCCUCACUGUUUUGUUCUCGAGGCACAUGAUUUAGAGUCCACUCCUUGAACGGUGCAAAGUUACCUGCAGCUUGUCCAAAUAUCUUUUCAUCCUAUCCUCUGGAACUUCAAAGCUUUUGUUUUCUUGAUUUACAACCAACAUGGAAUCGCACUUGUCUUCAAUGACUUCUGCCCUCAGGCUUUUAUAUGGCUCGAUACCUACAAUCAUGGCCUCAUACUCGGCCUCAUUAUUAGUCAACCUAAAAGUUUUUAUAGAUUGUCUAAUAGUACUACCUGUUGGUUGCUUCAAAAUAAUACCGAGCUCAGACCAUUUCACAUUCGAGGCACCGUUCGUGAAAAUGGUCCAUAUCCCCGAUGAUGUACCCGAUUUUAGCAUAAGUUCUUUCUCUACUUCGGGUACGAGGGUCGGCAUAAAAUCGGUCAUGAAGUCAUCCAAGAUUUGAGACUUGAUGGCCGUUUGGGGUUGAUAUUCGAUAUUCUACCCACAAAGUUUGAUUGCCCAUUUGGCCAAUCGGCCUGAUAGCUCACGCUUAUGUAAACAUUUUGGAGAGGAUAAGUAGCUAGCACAUAUUGGGUGACACUAGAAGUAUGGCUUUAGCUUUCUAGAUGCGCUUAUUAAUUCAAGUACUAAUUUUUCUAAGUGUGGGUAUCUAGUUUCAGCAUCUCCUAGAGUCUGACUUACAUAAUAAACAGGGAAUUACGUACCUUGCUCUUCUCGAACCAGCAUCUCACUUACCGCUAUCUCGAACACCGCCAAAUAUGAGUAAAGCUUUUCAUCUACCUUCGGAGUGUGAAGUAUAGGUGGGCUUGAUAAAUAUCGCUUUAGUCCCUCUAAUGCUUGUUGGCAUUCUGGGGUCCAUGCGAAAUCUUUUCUUUUAGCAAGGAAAAGAACAUGUGGCUUCGAUCCGAUGACCUUGAAAUGAAUCGACCCAAGGCGGCUAUCUAUCAUGUUAACCUUUGUACGACUUUCACACUAUCUAGAAUAGUGAUAUCUUCGAUGGACUUGAUCUUGUUCGGGUUGAUUGCGAUCCUUCGAUUUGAUACCAUGAGGAACUUGCCUGAGUCGACCCCGAAGGCACAUUUUUCUAAGUUAAGCAUCAUGUUGUACUUCCUCAAGAUUUUGAAUGUUUCCUGCAAAUGAGUUAAAUGGUCCUCAGCGUACAGGGACAUAACCAACAUAUCAUCAAUGUAAACUUCCAUUGAUUUCCCUAUCUGUUACCCGAAUAUUCUGUUAACUAAGCAUUGGUACGUUGCUCCCACAUUUUUUAGCCCGAAGGGCAUUACAUUGUAACAGUACUUUCCAAACUUAGUGAUAAACGAGGUCUUUUUCCGGUCCUCUGAGUUCAUCUGAAUUUGAUUGUACUUGGAGUAAGCGUCGAGAAAGGUAAGGAUCUUGUGGUCGGCCGUGGCAUCGAUCAUGUGAUCGAUGUUAGGAAGUGGAAAAGAGUUUUUAGGGCAUGCCUUGUUUAAAUCCUAAUAAUCUAUACACACUAAGUUUGUUCACUUUUUAGGGACUACAGCUACACUUUCUAACCACUCGGGGUUUUUACCUUCCGAAUGGAUCUUAUUUUAAGAAAUUUGGUUACCUCAUCCUUUAUGAAUGCAUGCUUCACCAAGGAUUAGGGCCUUCUCUUUUACUUUACCAAUUUGAAUCUGGGGUCGAUGAUUAGCUGGUACGUUGUUAUUUCUGGCGAGAUCCCUGUCAUAUCUAAAUGGGACCAAGCAAAACAAUCCAUGUUAUUAAUAAGAAAUUGAAUGAGUUUUUUCCUAAGUUAGGGGGUUAACCCCAUUCCCAGGUAUAACUUUUUCUCGGGCAUCUGCCCGACCAGUAUGACCUGUUCCAGUUCCUCGACCAUUGACUUGGUUGCAUCUGACUCUUCGGGAACAACAAAACUUCGAGUAAGGAAAUCCUCUUCUUCUUCUUCUUCUUCUUCGAUUACCUGUUCACCCGAUUCGCUCAAGGCUGGAAAUAGUGAUUACUAUUUGGCUAUCUGCUUAUCUUUGAUGCUCGAGUUUUCUAAGGUCGAAGGCGCUGGUACCGGUAUUCUCUCCUUGACUACAAACAUUUCCUUUGUAGCAUGUUGUUCUCCGUAAAUCAUUUUAACAUCAUCCACUGUUGGGAAUUUCAUCAUCUGAUGAAGGGUUGAAGGUACUGCCUUCUUGUUGUGGAUCCAUGGCCUUCCGAGAAGUGCAUUAUACCUCAUUGUAGGAUUAUCUUCCCCUUCGUUGUUUCGCUUGCCAUGUUGAAGCCAUUUAGGACUCGAGAUGCAGGUACAAAUUGGUCCUGCAGGCCGAGCUGCUCUAUGACCCUCCAGCUGGUUAUAUUUGUUGAACUACCUGGAUCCACGAGAACACGCUUAACUUGAAUUUUAUUUAACAAAAUAAAAAUUACUAGGGCAUCAUUGUGCAGCUGAGAUAUGCCUUCCGCCUCCUCGUCAUUGAAUGAUAGGAUGACCUCGGGCACAUAACUCCGAGUCCAUUUUUCUCUGGUGAUCGACACCUUGGAACAUCGACACUGCCUACGAUCAUAUGAAUUACGUGUUGCGAUUCAUCCUGCUCAUUUUUUUUGUUUGCAUCUCCUUCCGUGAAAUGGUUCUUAGCUCGAUCACUGAGAAAUUCUCGAAGAUGACCCUCAUUGAACAAUCAAGCUACCUCUUCCCUUAGCUGUCUGCAGUCUUCUGUCCUAUAACCAUGUAUGUCGUGAUACUUACACAUCAAGUUUGGAUUCCUUUGAGAAGGAUCGGUUUGCAUAUGUCUGGGCCACCUGGUGUCUUUGAUUCUUCCAAUAGCUGACACGAUCCCCGAUGCAUCUAUACUGAAAUUAUACUCCGACAAGUGAGGUGUUUCCAUAGGGUCGGUAUGUUUAUCAAAACCAUUCUUACUCAUAAGUCCCCGAGAGCUUUGACCUCGAUCAUUUAUUCGAUCUUACCGAGGAGUGUUACGCCCUGAACCUUUGUUUCUCCGAUCGACUUAUGGCUGAUAUUGUUCCCUGUUCGAUCUUGGAUCCCUAUCUGUAUCCCUCAGGGCCUUAACAACCAAUCUAUUAGGAUGAACUGAACCCGAGAGGGCUCCUAACUGGUCGUCCUUGACCCUGAUCUUCGAAUUGUAAUGCUUAUGUACGUCUGAACAAGUCACAGCUGGGUACUCUAUCAGAUUUUGUUUCAAUUGUCGUGACGCGAUUGAACUAUGCUCGUUCAAACCUGGCAUAAAAGCUUGUAUUGCCCAAUCAUCCAAGACUGGUGGUAAUUCUAUUCGCUCCAUUUGAAACUGGAAUACGAACUCCCUUAGCAUCUCAUCAUUCCUCUGUCUUAUCUUAAAAAUGUCUGAUUUCCUUGUCGCCACCUUUAUGGCCCCGGCAUGUGCUUUCAUGAAGGCGUCUGCCAACAUAGCAAAUGAAUCAAUGGAAUUCAGCGGCAAGUUGUGAUACCAGAUCAUGGCUCCCUUUGACAAAGUUUCCCCAAUUUUUUUCAACAAUAUUGACUCGAUCUCAUCAUCAUAUAAGUUGUUUCCUUUAAUUCCACAAGUGUACGAGGUAAUAUAUUUAUUAGGAUCAGUUGUCCCAUUAUAUUUAGGUAUAUCAGGCAUGCGGAAUUUUUAGGAAUGGGCUUCGGAGCUGCACUGUGGGAAUGGCUUCUACAUGAAUUUCUUGGCAUCCAAACCUUUCAAGACUGAGGGUGUCCCCGAUAUAUUAUCGACAAGGGAGUUUUAAGUCUCCAUUUUUUGUCAUUAUCCUCAAUCUAUUUCUCCCCGGACUUGAUUCUCUUGGUGAGCUCCUUGAGCAUCCUCAAAAUCGUUGGGUCAGUCCCCGAGCCAUUACCGUUUGAUCUUUCUGGCAACGACUCAGUACAUCGAGUGUUUUCUGGUUUGACUAUACUUGGAGUUUUGUGCUAACUUUAAAGCUGAGCGAUAGCAACCUAUUGAGCUUGAAGCAUCUCGAAUAUUACAUGGAGGCUGACUCCCCCAUCUCUUAUACCUUGUGUUCCUUGGACACUAGAUCGUGCUUCCUUACGUAGACUCCCUCCGGGGUCUGUGCCUAAAUCAGCAUCCAAAGCAAUGUGUGAACUGACAUCAACACAUUACACAUUUGGCACUCCCCCAGGGUUAAUCGGUACCUACCCCUACAUUGUUGUUUUCCCCAUGGAAUCCAAGACCAUUGUCACUGUGUGCGGGUAUGUUUUGCGAGUUUGACAUAUUUUAACCUGAGAACAAAAUUCUUGACAAGAAUAAGUGCGAAAAUAACAUGUCUUAUUAGAAUAAGUACUGAAAUAACCACUAUUAUCUUUAGCCCCACGGUGGGUGCCAAACUGUUUACCUAGAAAAUACGAGUAACAAUCAAACUUGAUUUAUGGUUUUAAAUAUAUAUGAUUUAGUUCAAUACUAAUUAAUAACCAAGAAAUCUAACGUGUAAAUGAAAGAAGUAAGUAAAAUCAAACCAGUGAGUAAGCCAGUCUCGACCUCGAGUAAGGCGGCCACGAGAUAGGUCAAGAAAAACAAAGAAACAACAAUAAAGUUAAAGGACAACUCUGGUGAGCAAUGAGCGAGAAAGUCAGAGAGUAUAUUCUUUGGACAAUGAUUGAUGAUUGUUACAAAUGAUUGAGGUCCCCUUUAUAUAAUAGGGGAACCCUAAAUAAGGUACUUUUCUAUUUACAGUAUGGAAUCUUAUUGGGACAGUUGUCUAAUCGCCUAGUACGGAUUAGUACUAACUUGUACAAAUCUAUUCUGGAAUUUAUGCUAUGAUUUUAGUGACGUGGUAGGAAUCUUGCUCAUUCUAUUACAAUCUUAUAAUGGCACCAUCUCGGGGUUGGGAAUACUCGGCUUCAAUACUCAUCGCAUACUUCAAUCCUCGGGCCUUGUAAUCUGUCAUCGAGCUCGGGCCUAAUCCAUAUAGCUCGAACUCGAUCCAUCCUAAACUCGGGCUUAAGGCGACCCCUAGAGCCCGUGAAAUCAGGCAUAGUUGAUUUUGACUGUAUACAGAUCUCAUGAACUGUACGACUGCCCCCGAGUUGAACUCAUUGUCGUCGACAGAGGAUCCCAAGUUAGCGUGAGCAUUGACCUCGCUACUUUGAUCCCGAGGCACAUGUUGUAAGGUGCACUCCUUGAACCGAUGUAACGUUACCUGUAGUUUAUCCAGGUAUCUUUGCAUUUAUCCUUCCUUGACUUCGAAUGUUCCACUAACUUGGUUCACCACAAAGAGGGAGUCGCACUUAGCUUCGAUCACCUAUGCCCCCAAGCUUUUGGCCAGUUUGAGACCUGCAAUCAUGGACUCAUACUCGGCCUCGUUGUUAGCAAAUUUUACAGUCCUAAUAGAUUGUGUAACUACAGUACUUGUUGGUGGCUUUAAUACUAUGCGAAGUCCGGACCCUUUUGCGUUCGAGGCACUGUCUAUAAAGAGGGUCCACAUUCUCGAAGAACUCCCCGAGUUCAAUAACAACUCUCUUUCAACCUCGAGUAUCAAGGCCGGCGUAAAGUCAGCCAUGAAGUAUGCUAAAAUUUUAGACAUAUUAGUGGUCUAGGGUUGAUACUCGAUAUCAUAUCCGCUGAUCUCCAUGGCCCAUUUGGCCAAUUGCCUGGAGAGUUCGGGUUUAUGCAUUAUGUUUAUCAAUGGGCAAGUAGUCAAAACACAUAUGGGUGGCAUUAAAAGUACGGUUUCAACUUUCUAGAGGCGCUUAGCAAAGCAAGCACCAAUUUUUCUAGGUGAGGAUACCUUGUUUCGGCCUCACCUAAACUCCUGGUAAUAUAAUAGAUUUGAAAUUGCAUACCAUCCUCUUCCCGAACCAGGACUCCACUUACCGCUACUUCAGAUACUGCUAAGUACAGGCAUAGUUGUUCAUUUAUCUUUGAAGUAUGAAGCAAUAGUGGGCUCGAGAGAUAUCGCUUGAGUUCCUCAAAGGCUUAUUGGCACUUCGGGGUCCACGAGAAAUUAUUCUUUUUCUUCAAUAGUUAAAAGAACCGAUGGCUCUUGUCGGAUGAGCUCGAGAUGAAUCGACCCAAGGCGGCUAUGCAACCGGAUAACCUUUGAACGGCUUUGACGUUGUCCACAACAGUGAUGACUUCAAUGGCCUUUAUCUUAUCUAGGUUAAUCUCGAUCCCUCGGUUGGACACCAUGAAUCUGAGAAAUUUCUCGUACCCAACUCCGAACGCGCAUUUCUCCAGGUUCAGCUUCAUAUUGCACUUCUUCAAUAUGUUGAAGGUUUCCUGCAAAUGUUUUAAAUGGUCCUUUGCUCGAAGGGACAAACUAACAUGUCAUUAAUACAAACCUCCAUUGAUUUUCCUAUUUUGUCUUCGAAUAUCCGAUUUACUAGGCGUUGGUAAGUGACACCGACAUUUUUUAGUCCAAAUGGCAUUACCUUAUAACUGAAAGACGUUUUUUCCUGAAGGACGUUUUUUCCUGAUCGCUCGGGUCCAUCCGAAUUUUGUUGUACCUAGAAUCGGCGUCGAGAAAACCAAGAAUCUCGUGGUUGGCCGUUGCAUCGAUCAUGUGAUUGAUGUUUGGCAAAAGAAAAGAGUCCUUGGUGCAUGCCUUAUUCAAAUCUGUAUAGUCUACACAAAUUCUUAAUUUAUUCUCUUUUUAGGGACUACCACAACAUUUUUUAACCAAUCUAGGUAUUUAACCUUCCAAAUCGACCCUAUUUUAAGGAGUUUAGAUGCCUCAGUUUUAAUGAAUACAUGCUUGACUUAAGACUGAGGUCUCCGAUUCUUUUUGGCCAGACGGAACUUCGGGUCCAGGCUCAGCUUGUGAAUUGUUAUUUUUUUGGGGGGGGGGGGGAUCCCUGUCAUAUCAAGGUGGGACCAAGAAAAACAACCUACGUUAUCUAUGAGGAAUUUAAUAAGUUUUUUUCUUGAGCUCGGAACAUAACCCUGUGCCCAGGUAACCUUUCGAUCGGUCAAAUUCUCGAUCAAUUUGACAUGUUCCAGUUCUUCGACCAUUGAUUUGGUGUCGUCGGAGUCAUCGUGUUCUAUAAAGGACCUGGGAAACCCGUAAUCAUCAUCUACAUCAGUCCCCUACUUCUCCGAUUGGGUCGGGGUUGGUGUUGGUAAUUUCUAUUUGGCUUCUCCCUUAGCGACCGAACCCGGACAUUUUGUCAUUGUAAGUGCGGAUAUCAGGAUCACCUUUUCGACCGCGAACAUUUUGUUUGUGGCUGGUUGUUCUUAGUAGAUUUUUUUAAUCCUUCCUAGCAUUCGGAAUUUUAACACUUGGUGCAGAGUUGAGGGUACUGCCCUCAUGUUGUGGGUGCAUGGCCUCCCUAAUAGAGCAUUGUACCUUAUACCUCCUUCGAUUACAUAGAACUUGGCUUCCUGAAUGGUCCUAGAGGUAUUCACCGGUAAUGUUAUUUCCCCUUUAGUGGUCUCACAUGGCAUGUUGAAUUUGCUUACAACCCGGACUACAGGUACGAUUUGAUCUUGUAGAUCGAUCUCUUCUACGACCUAUGAUGUUGGCCGACUGAUGUGCCGUAGAAUUUCGGCACAUUUGAUACCAAUUACAUAGACUUUAGUUCGUAUUUCAAUGCAUUUGUAGUUAAAUCUUAUAAAGUUUUGGUGUUUUUUAGUGCAUAAGACUUGAAGACCCAAACACAUGGAAAAAAGUCAAAAAAUCCAUAGAAGAGUAGGAAUGUAGCAAGUAUGUGACCGCAGAAGUAAUAUGCAGAUCGCAUAACCACCGCAAACUGAAACAGCAGUUUUGACCAACUGAAGAGAAGAUUGUGCGAUCUAUUAUGCAGUCGCAUAGCACUUCUGCGAGCCGCAUAAUGAUCGCAUAACUGAAAAUUGAAGAACUUGGGUAGCACAUCUGCGAUGGAAAAUGCGGCCACAUAACUGAUAUGCAGACCGCAUAAUGAAAAUGCGGUGGAAUCUAGGCUUGCAGAUCUGAAGUUCUACGACUCAAUUGUCAACUAUGGGGACCGCAUACAUGGUUUGCGACCAUUAUGCGGUCGCAUAAGAGCUCUCCAAGGUCAUUUUUGUCCAAUCUUGACUCCGACUUUCAGUCCACUAUAAAUAGAUUUACGAGAAUCUUUGUGGGGUAUUAAGUCUGAAAAAGGGACUACAUUGAAGGCAUUGAAUACGCCAAUAAUUUGGAAGCUUGGGAAGAUAUAGUCUUGCACUUUUGUAAGCUUUAUGACUCUAUUUUGUAGCAAUUGCGAACUAUCCCUCUACCUGAUCUACUUAGCAAUUGCGAGCAAGGUAUCACAUUUGCGAUACCUGAGUCCCCCUACUAAGCUCCCAAUUGCGAUCAUGGUGUUCGCAAAUGCGACACCAGAGGCAUCAACACACCAGGUCCUGUUUUUCAGUCCAAAACAUUCCAAAAUAUGCCUGAAACUCAUCCGAGCCAUCAGGGCUCCAAACCAAACAUCCACAUAAGUCUAAUAAAAUCAUAUGAACUCGCUCACACAAUCAAAACACAAAAAUAACAUCAAAAACUAUGAAUCAAACACUAAAACGCAUGAAUUUCAAAAUAAAGUUCAAGAACUACUAGAAUUGCAACUAAGAGUCUGAAUACUAUCAAUUCAACUCCAAAUGAUACCAAAAUUUUGCAGAUAAGUUCUAAUUCUAUGUCGCAGAACUCAAAUUCCGAGCUCAAUAGCUAAAAGUCAACCUAAGGUCAAACUUUCAACUUCAAAUUGCCAAAUUUCGACAAAAUAAAACAAAUCAACCUACGGUCUUCCGAAUUUAAUUCGGGGAAUAUGCCCAAGUCAAACAUCACGAUACGAAACUAUCGGGGCCAUCAAAAUACCAUUCCGGGGUGAUUUUCACAAAAGUCAAAGUUUGGUCAACAUAUCUAACUUAAGCUUCUAAGUCAAGAAUCAAAGGGUCUAAAUCAACCCGAAAUCUUCCCGGAAAGAAACUAAUCAAACUCGUAGGUCAUAAAACCAUAAACACACAUGUGUGAAGUAUCACAAGGUGAAACGGGGUGCAAUUACACAAAAUAACCGGUCGGUUCGUUUCAUUCUCCAUCUCUUAAAAUAAACGUCCGUCCUCGAACGUGCAUAAGGACACACCUGAAGUGAUGAAUAGAUGAAGAUAAUGAAUUCGCAUGUCGUGCUUUGUCUGCUAGGCUGCCUUCUCGACCAUAUGAACCCUCAAAUGAACUGUUACACCCCAUAAGUUUAACAACCUUGACACUAUUAUAUAUAUAUUUUAUAUGGUAUAUUGAGUAGAAUAUUUUUUGUAAAAGAAAAAAAAAUGGCUUGAAAAAUAUGAUUUUAGAGAAACAAAGUAACACGAUAUGUUCUAUAGAACGGAGAGUAAACUUCUUUUUUUUUUGUAUAGUUCGUAUUUUAUCCGUUUUAAUUAAUAUAAUAUUAUAUUAUUAAGGACGUUCAAAUUUAUUUAGAUAAAUGUUUCAUGCCUCAUUUUAUUUAUUUUAUUUAACAGGACGUAGAGUUAUAGGAUUGUUUCACUUACAUAUCAUAUUGAUGAGUAUUGAAGAGAAUGUUAAAUGGUCAAAAAGGUUAGACUAGACUAACAUCAUAUUACAUAUAUAUAUAACUCAAUGACCUUAAAUGGUUAAAAAGCUGAAAAUAAAUAUUUGAUUAUGUAGUGCUUCAAACGAGAUUAUGUUAAGUUUUUUUUAAAGUUAGUAAUAAGUAGUACAAACAGAGGAGUAUUCAAGUUGAGAUAUGUGGGUUAACGUGAAUCCAUACUUCUUCCAUAAAUCAUGUAUAACGAUGUUAUUCUUCAAAAUUACUUAAAUAUAUGUGCGUGAACCCAUGCUCAAAGAUUAUUACGGUGCAAUUAUUAUGGCUGCACCUUUACAAGUAAAACAGUUCAAAUCCUACUUUGAACGGUCAUGUUUCCGACACGGAGUAUAAAUAUAUAUGUAAAAAUUAUUAAAAUUUUGAAAAGAGUAUAAUUUGAAAGUAUACACAUACUAAUAUUUCAAAAGGAGUAUAAUUAAUAUGUUUUAAAAGUAUACACAUAAUAUGAGAAAAAUUUAUGAGAUUUUCUUUAUUGUAAAGAUAUGAAUUACUUUUUCACAAGAAAAUAAGGUUAUGUUUUUACCAUUUUAUGAAUUAAGUGUAUGGAUUUUAUUUUUUUUACUUUUUAUAUGAGAUCGGAAAAAUUAGAAGUUAUGUGCAAUUUUUCUUUAUGAAUAUUUUAAUGAAAUAAUAGUGUAUGUAUUUGUUUUAUAUAGUACCACAUAACCAUGAUAGUAAAAUAUAUAAAAUGUAUUAAAACUGAAUAGUAUUUUAAGUAUGUUGAGAUAAUUCUUAAUUACGCGGAUAAUUGGUAAUUAUCCAAAAUAUUUUGGAUAAAAACAUAACAUGGCAAAUUUUGCAGUGUGACUCAUACUUUCAUUAAUACAUGUGGCUUGACCACAUGAACUUUGGGAAAAUGUGAUAGUAUUGCUAAGGACGUACAACAUUUGGAUAUACAGAGCUGCUGCUAGUACUUGCUUGUGCAGCAAAACAUGAUGUUGGUACCAAGAGUUCUGCCUGGGGGAAGGAGUUGUCGGACGGCACAUCCAGUAGCAAUUCCUCGUCAGAACUUCCAUUUGCAAAAUGGAGAGAAUCCAGAUUCCAGCAUAGGAGAAUUAUUACAAGGCAAGGCAAAUAGGCUUUUGGACUGAAGCAAAAGCUAUCGAUGUAUAUUAGUUCCUUCUACUCAUACCUGCUUUUCAUAACCACCAUAUUGGGACUCUUCAUUGCUUUCUUUGCACCUGAAGCGAAAUGGGUUGAAAAGUAUUUCCAUAUGAAUUAGUGAUAUAGUUGAAGCACAUACUGCACAUGGAAAAUAGAGCUAGGGAAUUUUUCCUCAAAGAAAAAAAUCUACUAUUCCCCCAUUGCCCUCAAAUGAAGUUUUAGCAUUACUUAAGCUGGGGAAAUUAUGUGGCAAAGAUACUUGAUAAAGAGGAAAGCUAGACAAAUUUUAUGGACCAUCUGUUGCAAGAUUGAGGAAAUUGUUCACAUGUACAAGUAUGACAUUAAAAGUAUGUUAAUUCUAUCCUUUUUUUUCUUUUGGCAUUAUGCAAGUAAUGAUAUGUAAACGUAAUAAUAUUUUUGUCACGAUCCGAAUUUUCUAUCCUCGGGACUCGUGAUGACGCCCACUCGUGAAAGCUGGUAGGCAAGCCGAAUGUUAUAAAUUCAUUACCAUUUUUAUUAAGCUUUUUCAACAGUUCAAUAUAAUAAGUGAUCAAACAGCGGAAUAAAUUAAAUAACCAG
rnacentral:lncRNA from 1 species